rnacentral:miRNA from 1 species
CCAUCAUUGUUGCCAGAUUG